GACGAACGCUGGCGGCGUGCCUAAUACAUGCAAGUAGAACGCUGAAGAGAGGAGCUUGCUCUUCUUGGAUGAGUUGCGAACGGGUGAGUAACGCGUAGGUAACCUGCCUUGUAGCGGGGGAUAACUAUUGGAAACGAUAGCUAAUACCGCAUAACAAUGGAUGACACAUGUCAUUUAUUUGAAAGGGGCAAUUGCUCCACUACAAGAUGGACCUGCGUUGUAUUAGCUAGUAGGUGGGGUAAUGGCUCACCUAGGCGACGAUACAUAGCCGACCUGAGAGGGUGAUCGGCCACACUGGGACUGAGACACGGCCCAGACUCCUACGGGAGGCAGCAGUAGGGAAUCUUCGGCAAUGGGGGCAACCCUGACCGAGCAACGCCGCGUGAGUGAAGAAGGUUUUCGGAUCGUAAAGCUCUGUUGUAAGUCAAGAACGGGUGUGAGAGUGGAAAGUUCACACUGUGACGGUAGCUUACCAGAAAGGGACGGCUAACUACGUGCCAGCAGCCGCGGUAAUACGUGGGUCCCGAGCGUUGUCCGGAUUUAUUGGGCGUAAAGCGAGCGCAGGCGGUUUGAUAAGUCUGAAGUUAAAGGCUGUGGCUCAACCAUAGUUCGCUUUGGAAACUGUCAAACUUGAGUGCAGAAGGGGAGAGUGGAAUUCCAUGUGUAGCGGUGAAAUGCGUAGAUAUAUGGAGGAACACCGGUGGCGAAAGCGGCUCUCUGGUCUGUAACUGACGCUGAGGCUCGAAAGCGUGGGGAGCGAACAGGAUUAGAUACCCUGGUAGUCCACGCCGUAAACGAUGAGUGCUAGGUGUUGGAUCCUUUCCGGGAUUCAGUGCCGCAGCUAACGCAUUAAGCACUCCGCCUGGGGAGUACGACCGCAAGGUUGAAACUCAAAGGAAUUGACGGGGGCCCGCACAAGCGGUGGAGCAUGUGGUUUAAUUCGAAGCAACGCGAAGAACCUUACCAGGUCUUGACAUCCCGAUGCUAUUUCUAGAGAUAGAAAGUUACUUCGGUACAUCGGUGACAGGUGGUGCAUGGUUGUCGUCAGCUCGUGUCGUGAGAUGUUGGGUUAAGUCCCGCAACGAGCGCAACCCCUAUUGUUAGUUGCCAUCAUUCAGUUGGGCACUCUAGCGAGACUGCCGGUAAUAAACCGGAGGAAGGUGGGGAUGACGUCAAAUCAUCAUGCCCCUUAUGACCUGGGCUACACACGUGCUACAAUGGUUGGUACAACGAGUUGCGAGUCGGUGACGGCGAGCUAAUCUCUUAAAGCCAAUCUCAGUUCGGAUUGUAGGCUGCAACUCGCCUACAUGAAGUCGGAAUCGCUAGUAAUCGCGGAUCAGCACGCCGCGGUGAAUACGUUCCCGGGCCU
rnacentral:rRNA from 1 species